rnacentral:rRNA from 1 species
UACGUAGGGGGCUAGCGUUGUCCGGAUUUAUUGGGCGUAAAGAGCGUGUAGGCGGCUUGGUAGGUCCGCUGUGAAAACUCGGGGCUCAACCCCGAGAGGUCGGUGGAAACCAUCUGGCUAGAGUCCGGAAGAGGAGAGUGGAAUUCCCGGUGUAGCGGUGAAAUGCGCAGAUAUCGGGAAGAAUAUCCGUGGCGAAGGCGGCUCUCUGGGACGGUACUGACGCUGAGACGCGAAAGCGUGGGGAGCGAACAGG